rnacentral:piRNA from 6 species
UAACCGAAAGGUUGGUGGUUCGAG